UAUUUAAAAAUGACAUCAUCUAUUUAUAAAUCGUUAAUAUAUGAUCGGUGUAACUUUAUUGAGAUAACAGCUUAAACUUUUGUAUUACUCAUUAAAAUAUAACAUAUCGCAUCAGUAUUAAUAUUUAAUAUUAUUCAGCCUCUUUCUUUUUAUUUUACUCUCUAUUCGGUCGCCAAGUACGGCUCGGAAUAUAAGAGGAGAGGACGAGAGUGAGAUCUUGUCGCGCCAACCAAGUUGUAGAUCAAAAGUUUUAUAUUUUUUUCACAGACAAACCGGCAUCUUGCCGACAAUUUCUGUGGUGUAUAUCAAAGAAGUCACCAAGCCUUAAUAGCUGAUAGCACUUUCUACGGAAAAAGUACAAGUGCGAUUUCUCUUAUUUUUAAACUAA